AUUGAACGCUGGCGGUAUGCUUAAGACAUGCAAGUCGAACGGUAACAGACCUUCGGGUGCUGACGAGUGGCGGACGGGUGAGUAACACGUGGGAAUCUACCUUGUAGUGGGGGAUAAGCCAGGGAAACUUGGACUAAUACCGCAUACGCCCUAAGGGGGAAAGGAGCAAUUCGCUAUAAGAUGAGCCCGCGUCUGAUUAGCUAGUUGGUGAGGUAAAGGCUCACCAAGGCGACGAUCAGUAGCUGGUCUGAGAGGAUGACCAGCCACAUUGGGACUGAGACACGGCCCAGACUCCUACGGGAGGCAGCAGUCGGGAAUAUUGGACAAUGGGGGCGAACCCUGAUCCAGCAAUACCGCGUGUGUGAAGAAGGCCUGCGGGUUGUAAAGCACUUUUAGUAGGGAAGGAUAAUGACGUUACCUACAGAAAAGACACCGGCUAACUCCGUG
rnacentral:rRNA from 1 species